ACGGGUGAGUAACGCGUGGGAAUCUACCCAGUUCUACGGAACAACUGAGGGAAACUUCAGCUAAUACCGUAUACGCCCUACGGGGGAAAGAUUUAUCGGAAUUGGAUGAGCCCGCGUAAGAUUAGCUAGUUGGUGAGGUAAUGGCUCACCAAGGCGACGAUCUUUAGCUGGUCUGAGAGGAUGAUCAGCCACACUGGGACUGAGACACGGCCCAAACUUCUACGGGAGGCAGCAGUGGGGAAUAUUGGACAAUGGGCGCAAGCCUGAUCCAGCCAUGCCGCGUGAGUGAUGAAGGCCUUAGGGUUGUAAAGCUCUUUCAGUGGGGACGAUAAUGACGGUACCCACAGAAGAAGCCCCGGCUAACUUCGUGCCAGCAGCCGCGGUAAUACGAAGGGGGCUAGCGUUGUUCGGAUUUACUGGGCGUAAAGCGCACGUAGGCGGAUCGUUAAGUCGGGGGUGAAAUCCUGGAGCUCAACUCCAGAACUGCCUUCGAUACUGGCGAUCUUGAGUCCGGAAGAGGUGAGUGGAACUCCUAGUGUAGAGGUGGAAUUCGUAGAUAUUAGGAAGAACACCAGUGGCGAAGGCGGCUCACUGGUCCGGUACUGACGCUGAGGUGCGAAAGCGUGGGGAGCAAACAGGAUUAGAUACCC
rnacentral:rRNA from 1 species